UUACACAUUUAUAUCUGGUAUGUAUAUAUAAUAUACAUAUUUUUUUUUUGUAUUAUACGUGUGUGUAUAUAUACAUAUACAUAUAGACGUAUGUAUGUAUACACAUAUAGAUGCGCGUGUUGGUUUUUUGUAGUCUUUUUUUUGUAAUAUAUAUAUUUAUAUGAUCAUAUACAUAUGUUAUUUUAAGGUAUGCUCGGUGACUACGCUUACGGCUCCUACUUUUGCUUUCUUUCGCUGUGUGCAUCAUCUCUUACAAAUUUCUGUUAAACAUUCUUGUGUUAACGCUAAACUGUUUUCACGAAAUUCUAGAGUUUGCGUCUCGAGAACACGGACGAAGGAUGGAGGCAGCAGCCGCAGCUUGUUUCCUAUAUAUUUUUAUUUCCGUGUUUAUGCCUUGUUGUGUUUUACGUUUACGUGUAGUAUUUAUGUGUGCGUGUGUGUAUAUGUCGUGUAACGGUGCUCGAUGUGAUUUGCGGAUAUAGUUAUUGCGCUAUUCAUUUUUUUUUUUCGUGAACGUUUCUUUUCUUCUUCUUAUUUGUUAACUUAGCGAUCGUCAAGCUAGACUAGAUUACUAAGCCUAGAGUUGUUGUUAAGUUUCUCGCCGCUACGUUCUCUAUACGUACGCUGCCGUGUAGAGAAUGUGAUUUUGUUUGUACGUGUGUAUUUACAUACGUGUACGUGUGUUUGUGCGUGCGUGCGUGCGUGCGUUUUACCUGUACGAGUGUCAAUGUACGUGUCAUUUUGUAUUCCUUUUUCUGGGCGUGAUUACGCACAUGACUUAGGUACCAUAAAUGGAUUUGACCAUUUUCUAUUAGACAUAUCACUCUAGCGUGCAUUCUCUCUCUCCCAUUCUCUCUUGCUCUCAUCCUUCUGUAUUGUUCGCAUCAUUCUCACCCUUUUUUGCCUAAAUUUCUUUACACGGUUUUCCUCGAUUCCACUCUCGCUUCGUGGUCGUUACUUUCCAAAACCCCGUGGUAUCUUCUACUAAUUAAAUUACAUUAAUUAUCUACUUAUCACUUUAUACUACAUUUGGUUUCCCCUUUGACGCUGCGCCGUGUAUUUCUUUAUUUUUUCUCCUUUUACUUGGCUAGCUUCAUUCGCUUUAUUACCUAGACAACGUACUCGAGACUAGCGGUAAGUUCUAUACACGCCUUAAUGCUUAAGGCGUCAUUCUUCAAAUACUUUUUACAGGACGAGGAUCCCCGCUGAUUCUUUAAAAGAGUGGGGGACCACUCUCUUUCUUCCCGUUGAAAGUGGAAUCGAGUCGAGAAGUGAACUUUCUGGCAAGGGGAGUGAUUAU
rnacentral:misc_RNA from 1 species